ensembl:miRNA Gm22231 predicted gene, 22231
GGGUGUGUGUGUGUGUGUGUGUGUGUGUGUGUGUGUGUGUGUGUGUUCUCACAUGCAUGUGCAUGCACAUGCUCACAGGUGCACGCCUG